AUUGCCCUAGUAACGGCGAGUGAAGCGGCAACAGCUCAAAUUUGAAAUCUGGCCUCGGCCCGAGUUGUAAUUUGCAGAGGAUGUUUCUGGCGCGGUGCCUUCCGAGUUCCCUGGAACGGGACGCCAAAGAGGGUGAGAGCCCCGUAUGGUUGGACACCAAGCCUGUGUGAAACUCCUUCGACGAGUCGAGUAGUUUGGGAAUGCUGCUCUAAAUGGGAGGUAAAUCUCUUCUAAAGCUAAAUACCGGCCAGAGACCGAUAGCGCACAAGUAGAGUGAUCGAAAGAUGAAAAGCACCUUGAAAAGGGGGUUAAAUAGUACGUGAAAUUGUUGAAAGGGAAGCACUUAUGACCAGACUUGGGCCGGGCGGCUCAUCAGGGGUUCUCCCCUGUGCACUCCGCCCGGCACAGGCCAGCAUCGGUUUUCGCGGGGGGAUAAGACCGUCAGGAACGUAGCACCCUCCGGGGUGUGUUAUAGCCUGGCGGACGAUACCCUCGCGGGGACCGAGGUUCGCGCUCCGCAAGGAUGCUGGCGUAAUGGUCAUCAGUGACCCGUCUUGAAACACGGACCAAGGAGUCGUCCAUUAGAGCGAGCGUUUGGGUGUAAAACCCGCACGCGUAAUGAAAGUGAACGCAGGUGAGAGCUUCGGCGCAUCAUCGACCGAUCCUGAUGUUCUCGGAAGGAUUUGAGUAAGAGUUUUAACGGACGGACCCGAAAGACAGUGAACUAUGCUUGUAUAGGGUGAAGCCAGAGGAAACUCUGGUGGAGGCUCGCAGCGGUUCUGACGUGCAAAUCGAUCGUCAAAUAUGAGC
rnacentral:rRNA from 1 species